UCAAGCGUGAGGUAAGGGCAAUUCGUGGAUGCCUUGGCAUGUACAGGCGAUGAAGGACGUGGCACGCUGCGAUAAGCGUCGGUGAGGUGUGAGCAACCUUUGACCCGACGAUUUCCGAAUGGGGAAACCC
rnacentral:rRNA from 1 species